rfam:Elusimicrobia bacterium RIFOXYA12_FTLL_49_49 rifixya3_full_scaffold_53, whole genome shotgun sequence.
GGAGAGGUGGCCGAGUGGUUGAAGGCGCCGGUCUCGAAAACCGGUAUACCAGCAAUGGUAUCGCGAGUUCAAAUCUCGCCCUCUCCG